rnacentral:tRNA from 1 species
CCAGUGGUGGUUCAAUGGUAGAGCCAUUGCCUUCCACGCAGGAGACCUGGGUCCGGUUCCCAGCUAAUGUA